GGAGGGAGUCAACUUACUGCAGGAGCUGGCCGUUGGAGGGAGAAGACAGGCUUAUCGGUGUGAUCUGGUCCUGGUGGUGGCUGUGUUGGACCGGCCACAUGGUUAAAUUAGCCACACUUUGUCGGUCUGGCUGCCACCUCCAAGUCAUCAUGGGCCCCCCCUCAACCCCACAACACGUCACCUGAUCUUUGUUGCUCUUGUUCAGUCCCCGUGACUCGCUUUCAUCUUCGUCCUCUCCCCGUGAUGUCAUCGGCGCUGGGCUCCAUGGCAACAGGCAGAGAUAUUUCUUUAGACAGGCAUUACCUUCAGCUCAGUGGAGAAGAGAAGUGUUAUAAAUAGCUCCUGAUGUUUCUAUGUGUUAGACAAUGAUGGGACGUAAAACGCCAUCGUUCAUCACCAAGCUGUUUUCUGCCUAUGGAACAUUGGGUCUUUGUGACGAGGCGGUCACGUGACUCUACGGGGCCAAUUGAAGAAUGACGCCCACCCAAGAUUUAGUAAAAAAUGUAUUUAUUUUUAAUUGUUUUAUUAUCAAUGACAACACGUCUUCUCAAGUAGAGUGCAUGUAUUGAGCCAAGAAAAGCACUUAACGUAAUCGUCACAACUGCAUUGAGCAAUGUUAUCAUUUCCAGCUUUUUAAUUCUGCUUUUCUUUUCCAGUUCUUUUUCCAGUUCUCUCGUUCCUUCUUUCCUGUCCUUGACUGCUCUGUGAUGAUGCUUAAUUUAGUUUGACGCAGACACACCAACAGAUUCACUGAUCACUUCUCUACUGCAGUGUGCCUAUAUCUAGUAA
rnacentral:lncRNA from 1 species